rnacentral:rRNA from 1 species
UACGGGGGGGGCAAGCGUUGUUCGGAAUUACUGGGCGUAAAGGGCUCGUAGGUGGCCAACUAAGUCAGACGUGAAAUCCCUCGGCUUAACCGGGGAACUGCGUCUGAUACUGGAUGGCUUGAGUUUGGGAGAGGGACGCGGAAUUCCAGGUGUAGCGGUGGAAUGCGUAGAGAUCGGGAAGAACAUCAGUGGCGAAGGCGGUCUGCUGGGCCGUUGCUGACGCUGAGGCGCGACAGCGUGGGGAGCAAACAGG